UACGUAGGGUGCGAGCGUUAAUCGGAAUUACUGGGCGUAAAGCGUGCGCAGGCGGUUUUGUAAGCCAGAUGUGAAAUCCCCGGGCUUAACCUGGGAAUGGCAUUUGGGACUGCAAGGCUUGAGUGCGGCAGAGGAGACUGGAAUUCCUGGUGUAGCAGUGAAAUGCGUAGAUAUCAGGAGGAACACCGAUGGCGAAGGCAGGUCUCUGGGCUGACACUGACGCUCAUGCACGAAAGCGUGGGGAGCAAA
rnacentral:rRNA from 1 species